UUGGUUUUGAGCCUCUUCUGCUGGAGAGAGCCUGAGGGGACAGGGAUGUGGCACUUUUUCAUUCUGUGCCUCUGUGUACGCAUGGCCUCUGUGACUACAGACUCCAUGGUAACUUUGCUGGAGCAGAAACCUAGGUGGGCUCUGGUACGUCGUGGUCAAGCUGUGACCCUGCGCUGUAUCUUGAAGAAUUCCCAGUACCCUUAUAUGAGCUGGUACCAGCAGGAUCUCCAACAGCAGCUACAGUGGCUGGUCUCUCUGCGGAGUUCUGGGGACAAAGAGGCCAAAUCUCUCCCGGGUGCUGAUUACCUGGCCACACGAUUCACUGAUACAGAGCUGAGGCUUCAAGUGGCUAACAUGACCCAGGGCAGAACCUUGUUUUGCACCUGCAGUACAGACACAGUGAGUGAAACACAGGCUGACUGGGAUGCCAGUGUCAAUUCCCAGCGUAGGGUUGGGUUAAAAUCCAGAGAAAUUUCAAGAGCUCGGAUAAGCGUGGGCUGA